GUUGUUGCCUGCAGAGCUUAUUAUAUGUUGUUGCACCGAGAGAUCGCAAAGCUGAACCAUCUGCCUCUUUAGUGGGAAGUCGCUGGGUAGAAACAGAAGCGCGGCAGAGCUGAGGAAACCAGACAAACAUGUGACCAUGGUGAUGCGGGGGUGGUUCUCCCGAGAUGCAGACGGACUCCGGACACAGCGUGCAGUUAUUUGGUCUCCUGCUUCAGUGUCAUGUGUGAGAAAUUACAAGACUCGCCUCACUAACCUCUCCAGUCCUCUGCAUCGUGGCAUCCGCUCUGGUUGUGCACACCCGCGCCUCACAAGUUGUGCCAAAUUCCCCACGAGCAC